rnacentral:rRNA from 1 species
GCGCAGCCUGAUGGAGCACACCGCGUGAGUGAAGAAGGGUUUCGGCUCGUAAAGCUCUGUUGUUAAAGAAGAACACGUAUGAGAGUAACUGUUCAUACGUUGACGGUAUUUAACCAGAAAGUCACGGCUAACUACGUGCCAGCAGCCGCGGUAAUACGUAGGUGGCAAGCGUUAUCCGGAUUUAUUGGGCGUAAAGAGAGUGCAGGCGGUUUUCUAAGUCUGAUGUGAAAGCCUUCGGCUUAACCGGAGAAGUGCAUCGGAAACUGGAUAACUUGAGUGCAGAAGAGGGUAGUGGAACUCCAUGUGUAGCGGUGGAAUGCGUAGAUAUAUGGAAGAACACCAGUGGCGAAGGCGGCUACCUGGUCUGCAACUGACGCUGAGACUCGAAAGCAUGGGUAGCGAACAGGAUUAGAUACC